GCCUGGAAACGUUUUGCAGUCGGCAGAUGCACCAAACCAACACUCUAACAAAAAUAUCUUAUUUAUUUCCAACUUACUCAAUAUCAGUCAAUACAGGAUCAAAACACCAUGGAGCUGCGAGUUAGGAUUUGGGAGAAGGAGAGAGAGAAGCAGCAAUGGUAUCGAAUCAGAAUCGGUUUAGGUUUGUAUUGUUACGGUUCUGUGGCUUAAAGUAAUCAACAGGGAGCGUUCAACAACUCAUGGCAAUGGUAUCACAGAUUUUGGUUCCCAUACCCUUGACAUGGAAUCUUGAGCGGCGUUGUUGUUGGUGCUGCGAUCGUUGUGUGUGGACAUGCAGUAGAUGACUUCCUCUUGUCAAUUUUUAGAUCAUUUCCCUCAUCUAAGAAUUUCACUACAACUUUCUUAGUUUCUUGGGCAACACAUAUUGGAUUAUUCCAAGCCACUCCAUCUAUUUCCGAGAUGUUGACAAUUUUCUAGUGGUGUGCCCGGGUGACCUAUCAUGGAACUCGCACCUUACUUUGGGAUGCAUUUUUCAGGAGUCACCAAAUAAUUCUAGACUAUCUUAGACAACAAUUGAUUAUAUGACAUGAGUAGUGGUAAAAAAAUGAGGGAUCCCUUGGUUAGCACAAGGUCUCGCUUGUAUGUGAUUGUAACUAUGUAAUAGGUUCCUCGACCUUGGUUAAGAAAUGGGCGCUAACCAUUGGUUUCGAGGCAUUAGAUGAACUAUUUGGGGAUGAAACCCAUGAGGGACUCCAUAAAAUGGGUUGAUCAAAGGAAGAUGUAAGGCUGAAGGAAAUACAUGAAUAACAUUCCUAACAGCAGCAUUUUGUUGAAGCCAUAUGUCUCUUGCCAUAGUUGUUACAGUCUUUAGGAUCUGGUCAACCUUUUCCUACAUACGGUCCAUGUACUUCUUCAUCUUGACUUGAUCUUUCGUCAAAUGCUCCAUCGUAUUUUAGUAGUUAUCACGAGUGUCGAUACGUCAAACAAAUAUUUAUGGAUAAAAGGCUUAUGGUGAGUUGUUUCGUUGUGGAAUGUAUGAUGCGUGAAUGAAAAUUUUAUCCAUGCAAAUGAUUGUAAUACCUCAAAAUUUACCUUCCAUUUUCUACCUUGUUACUAAAGAUUCAUUUUAAUACAUGGAAUCAUGUCAUGCACCAUCAUGACCAUUGCAUUUGGACGUUGGCUCACAAGCAUGGCCACAUUCUUUGCUUAAUCUUAACAUUAGGAUUUUUCUUUGUUUUGCAUAUCAACUAACAAAAGAAUCAAUAAGAGAUGGUACUUGUUUGUUCAUUUGCUCGUGUAGGUGAUCAUGCCUCAUUUCAAGACAAAACAAGGGUCUUUUGAGUCAAGAAAGAUGCAAGUGUUGGUUCAUUGAUUCAAGGGUGGUUCAUGUGUUUAUUUCCAUGCGACAUCACUCAAUAUUCAAGUCAUACUCAAUAUAGUUCAAGCCUUAAUCAAGUUUAAUUCAAGGUAUGCUGAUUCCAUCAUCAUUUUAGAUUGGGAUGCUAGAAAACUUCAAGUGUCCACAUGAUUGGACAAGUGUGAUUGACCUAAUUGGCAAGUAUGACUCACUUUUGGUCCAAACCUCAUAACUUCUUCAAUUUUCAAC